rnacentral:rRNA from 1 species
GACGAACGCUGGCGGCGUGCUUAACACAUGCAAGUCGAACGGAAAGGCCCUGCUUUUGUGGGGUGCUCGAGUGGCGAACAGGUGAGUAACACGUGAGUAACCUGCCCUUGACUGUGUGAUAACUUCAGGAAACUGGGGCGAAUACCGGGUAUGAGCUCCUGCUGCGUGGUGUGCGUUGGAGAGUUUCGGCGGUGGGGGAUGGACUCGCGGCUUAUCAGCUUGUUUGUGGGGUAGUUGCUUACCAAGGCUUUGACGGGUAGCCGGCAUGAGAGGGUGACCGGCCACAUUGGGCCUGCGAUACGGCCCAGAAUCCUACCGGACGCAGCAGUGGGGAAUAUUGCACAAUGGGCGGAAGCCUGAUGCAGCAACGCCGGGUGCGGGAUGACGGCCUUCGGGUUGUAAACAGAUUUCGCCGGUGCCGAAGAGUGCGUGACGGUAACGGGUCAAGAAGCAACGGCUAACUACGUG